rnacentral:rRNA from 1 species
CCUAGUGGCGAACGGGUGAGUAACACGUGAGGAACCUGCCCCGAAGACCGGGAUAACCCUCCGAAAGGAGAGCUAAUACCGGAUACCCCACCGAACCGCAUGGCUCGGUGAGGAAAUGGAUUCCGCUUCGGGAGGGUCUCGCGGCCUAUCAGCUUGUUGGUGGGGUAACGGCCCACCAAGGCAUCGACGGGUAGCUGGUCUGAGAGGACGAUCAGCCACACUGGGACUGAGACACGGCCCAG